rnacentral:misc_RNA from 1 species
UAUGGAAUUAAUUAAGGGCUUUGGUCGAAGGUGAACAGGGGCCAUUGAUGUUGAGGUCCAAAUGGGGAAUAGGUUGGAGUGGACGGUCGUGAUUGGGGGUGAAUUGCGCGGAGAAGUGAGGAUAGGGUGAAGGUGAAGGUGAAGGUGGAGCAUUGCUGCAGAGAUCGUACCUCUUGGCUGCUGCUGCUGCCGCCUGCAAGUGCUUGUGGUUUCCCACUUUCUCGUUCG